CCUACGGGAGGCAGCAGUGGGGAAUAUUGCACAAUGGGGGAAACCCUGAUGCAGCAACGCCGCGUGAGUGAAGAAGUAUUUCGGUAUGUAACGCUCUAUCAGCAGGGAAGAAGCUGACGGUACCUGAGUCAGAAGCCCCGGCUAACUACGUGCCAGCAGCCGCGGUAAUACGUAGGGGGCAAGCGUUCUCCUGAUUUAUUGGGUUAAACGGGUUCGUAGGCGGAAUAUCAAGUCAGCGGUAAAAAUUCGGGGCUCAACCCCGUAGUGCCGUUGAAACUGAUGUUCUUGAGUGGGCGAGAAGUAUGCGGAAUGCGUGGUGUAGCGGUGAAAUGCAUAGAUAUCACGCAGAACUCCGAUUGCGAAGGCAGCAUACCGGAGCCCAACUGACGCUGAAGCACGAAAGCGUGGGUAGCGAACAGGAUUAGAUACCCGAGUAGUC
rnacentral:rRNA from 1 species